rnacentral:tRNA from 1 species
UAUAUUUUAGUAUAAUUGUACAAAAGCUUUUGAUGCUUUUAGAAGUAGAAAAUCUACUAAAUAUAA